UUAAAAAGCUCGUAGUUGGAGUUCUGCCAGGUGACGCUCGUCCGCCCAAGUGGUGUGUACAGGGCGUGCAUCUGGCCCCUUCAAGGGGAACGUGUUGCACUUUAUUGUGUGGCGCGAGAUCCUUGACUUUUACUUUGAGGAAAUAAGAGUGUUCCAAGCAGGCUCUCGUCGUGCAUAGCUCAGCAUGGAAUAAUAGCAUUGGACUUCGUUUCUACGCUGUUGGUUGCAAGAAGCGAGGUAAUGAUGAAGAGGGAUAGUUGGGGGCAUUCGUAUUUAACUGUCAAAGGUGAAAUUCUUGGAUUUGUUAAAGACGGACUACUGCGAAAGCAUCUGCCAUGGAUGUUUUCAUUGAUCAAGAACGAAAGUUAGGGGAUCGAAAACGAUCAGAUACCGUCCUAUUCUUAACUAUAAACCAUGCCGGCUAAAGAUCGGAGGUCGUUCAAUUUGUGACACCUUCAGCAUCUUGAGAGAAAUCAAAGCCUUUGGGUUCCGGGGGGAGUAUGGUCGCAAGGCUGAAACUUAAAGGAAUUGACGGAAGGGCACCACCAGGAGUGGAGCCUGCGGCUUAAUUUGACUCAACACGGGGAAACUUACCAGGUCCGGACUUAGU
rnacentral:rRNA from 1 species